UACGGAGGGAGCUAGCGUUGUUCGGAAUUACUGGGCGUAAAGCGCGCGUAGGCGGCUUUGUAAGUUAGAGGUGAAAGCCCGGAGCUCAACUCCAGAACUGCCUUCGAUACUGGGAGCUCGAGUCCGGGAGAGGUGAGUGGAACUGCGAGUGUAGAGGUGAAAUUCGUAGAUAUUCGCAAGAACACCAGUGGCGAAGGCGGCUCACUGGCCCGGUACUGACGCUGAGGUGCGAAAGCGUGGGGAGCAAACAGG
rnacentral:rRNA from 1 species